rnacentral:rRNA from 1 species
CCUACGGGUGGCAGCAGUGGGGAAUAUUGGACAAUGGGCGCAAGCCUGAUCCAGCAAUGCCGCGUGUGUGAAGAAGGCCUGCGGGUUGUAAAGCACUUUCAGUGGGGAGGAAGGCCUCGAUAUUAAUACUAUUGAGGAUUGACGUUACCCACAGAAGAAGCACCGGCUAACUCUGUGCCAGCAGCCGCGGUAAUACAGAGGGUGAAUGCGUUAAUCGGAGUUACUGGGCGUAAAGGGUGAAUUCAUGGUUGAAAGCCCCGGGCUCAACCUGGGAAUUGCAUUUGAUACUGAGUAACUUGAGUAUGGUAGAGGGAAGUGGAAUUUCCAGUGUAGCGGUGAAAUGCGUAGAUAUUGGAAGGAACAUCAGUGGCGAAGGCGACUUCCUGGACCAUUACUGACACUGAGGCACGAAAGCGUGGGGAGCGAACAGGAUUAGAUACCCGGGUAGUC